CCUCGCGUGGUGAAAUGGAUAUCAUACGGCCCUCCGAAGGCCGUGUCUCAGGUUCGACUCCUGACGCGAGGACCA
rnacentral:tRNA from 2 species